AUUGAACGCUGGCGGCAUGCUUUACACAUGCAAGUCGAACGGUAACAGGCCUUCGGGUGCUGACGAGUGGCGAACGGGUGAGUAAUGCAUCGGAACGUACCCAGAGGUGGGGGAUAACGCAGCGAAAGUUGUGCUAAUACCGCAUGUGAUCUGAGGAUGAAAGCGGGGGACCGAGCAGCAAUGUUUGGCCUCGCGCCUUUGGAGCGGCCGAUGUCGGAUUAGCUAGUUGGUGGGGUAAAGGCCUACCAAGGCGACGAUCCGUAGCUGGUCUGAGAGGACGACCAGCCACACUGGGACUGAGACACGGCCCAGACUCCUACGGGAGGCAGCAGUGGGGAAUUUUGGACAAUGGGCGCAAGCCUGAUCCAGCAAUGCCGCGUGCGGGAAGAAGGCCUUCGGGUUGUAAACCGCUUUUGGCAGGAACGAAACGGUGUCCGCUAAUACCGGGCGCUAAUGACGGUACCUGCAGAAUAAGCACCGGCUAACUACGUG
rnacentral:rRNA from 1 species